rnacentral:rRNA from 1 species
AUUGAACGCUGGCGGCAUGCUUUACACAUGCAAGUCGAACGGUAACAGGUUAAGCUGACGAGUGGCGAACGGGUGAGUAAUGCAUCGGAACGUGCCCGAUCGUGGGGGAUAACGCAGCGAAAGCUGCGCUAAUACCGCAUACGAUCUGAGGAUGAAAGCGGGGGACCGUAAGGCCUCGCGCGAUCGGAGCGGCCGAUGUAAGAUUAGGUAGUUGGUGGGGUAAAGGCCCACCAAGCCGACGAUCUGUAGCGGGUCUGAGAGGAUGAUCCGCCACACUGGGACUGAGACACGGCCCAGGCUCCUGCGGGAGGCAGCAGUGGGGAAUUUUGGACAAUGGGGGCAACCCUGAUCCAGCCAUGCCGCGUGGGUGAAGAAGGCCUUCGGGUUGUAAAGCUCUUUCGGCCGGGAAGAAAUCGCACAGGCUAAUACUCUGUGUGGAUGACGGUACCGGCAUAAGAAGCACCGGCUAACUACGUGCCAGCAGCCGCCGUAAAAC